AAAAUAGAAGAAGAAGAAAAAGAAGAAGACGAAGAAGAAGUACUAAUGCUAAGCUAAGCUAAGCUAGAAAGCUAACGUUAGCAUACAUACAAUAUUAAGAUGAGGCAGUUAGUUAUACUAUGCCUCACUCCUGCGCUGUGAAGAAAUGCAGAAAUAAAGCAAAGACUGGCACUGCUUUGUCGUUUCACCGCCUUCCACUAAGGGAACCUGAGCGGCUGAAACUAUGGCUGUUUGCCUUGAACAUCGAUGUAAAUACGCCCCUGGACGAGCUGAAGAAAUAUAUUGUAUGCUCAGAGCAUUUUGUUCCGGAGCAUUACACAGUUAACGUACAGCCGAGGACCGACACGAUGCACCGUUUUCUGACCUCGUGCAAGCUACAACCAAGUGUAACGGAGUCUAAGGAUUCAGAAAACGACAGGACCAAGGAUUCUCAUUCCUCUCAAGACGCCCAGCCGGUCUCUGAGGAACUUCAUCCUUCACUGCAGCAAUGUGACAUUAAGGUGGAAGAGAUUCCCGUUCUGGAGGAAACAGAGAUCCAACAGCACCCGCAGGUCAAAGAGGAGCAGGUGGAUCAGUGUAUCAGUGCGGACAUGGAGGCUGAUACUUCCAACGAUGCUGAAGUCAGACUUCUUAAAUCAGAACCAACCACUAACUGUGAGCUGUUCCCGUCUUCCACUGCUGUAACCGUGAGUGUAAACGAAAGCGUGGACGACAAACAGAAUGAAAGUGAUGGGUCAUCGUCGCCUCGUCAAAGCGUUGAAGUUGUUGUGCAACUGGAACAGCCUCCGAGGGAAGAAAAGUCUUGCAGUUUUUGUGGUAAAAGUUUUAAGAGGGACUCUUUUCUUAUAAGGCAUGUAGACAAGAGUCACAAAGGGCACAAAGCCUUUAAAUGCCUGGAGUGCAACAAGGAGUUUGAACAAAGGUACCAGCUAGUUCUGCAUUCAAGAAUUCACACAGGUGAAAAGCCCUUCAGAUGUGAUUACUGUGACAAAACCUUUACUCAGAACUCAAGUCGUCUUGCUCACAUGAGGGUGCAUACUGGAGAGAAACCGUAUUUUUGUAAGAAAUGUGGGAAAAGUUUUGCCACGAGCAAUCACUUCAGAUUUUGCAAAAUGCAGAAUGAGUGCAAAAUCGCACCAGAAACAGAGAAUGUAGAUGAGAAUCACAAAGAGGAGAAGGCCUUUAAAUGCCUUGAAUGCAACAAGGACUUUAAUCAAAAGCACCAGCUUGUUCUGCAUGCGAGAGUUCACACCGGUGAAAGACCCUUCAGUUGUGAUUUCUGUGGCAAAACGUUCACUCAGAACUCUAAUCGUAUUGUUCACAUGAGACAGCAUACUGGAGAGAAACCAUAUUUUUGUAAGAAAUGUUGCAAGAGGUUUGCCAGUAGCCAUCAUCUUAAACUGUGCACAGGGACACAACAUAAAAGCACAAAUAAGUCCUUUCGCUGCUUAACAUGUGGCAGAACGUUUCACACAGAUUCAGACCUGAAGGUGCACAUGGAGGUUCACGAGUCAUGGAAACGACACAUCAGUGAGAAACUGCAAGGACAGGAGUUAGAAGAGGAAAGUUAAAGCUGUAUGAGAGAACGUCAGAGUCUUUGUGACACCAAAUGUGUUUUUCAAAAAUGAAUCAGUAAACGUGCAUCCAGAGUCAUCAAAAAUGUUAUCAAAUGUUAUUUUUUUCAUUUAUGGUGGAGAAGCAAAUAAACUGUCCCAAAUGACCUAUGGAUUCCAAGCCAUAUGUUUUUGCUUGUUGUAUCGUACACAAGCAUAAUAAACAAGUGUUGCCAUCAAGGAGGAGGGAUCUCUCUCUCUCUAUAGUUCCUCUCCCCAAGAUACUUCCACUUUUUCCCCCUUUGCCCUAAAGGUUUUUCCUUGUCUUUAGAGAGUUUGGGCUGGGUCAGGAACCGUUGCUGAUGUGUACAAAUAACCACAUCGUCACACAGUGCAAGUAAAACAUUUGGAAAGAAACAAAGUGGUAAUCCCACUGUGCUCAUUAAGUUUCUCAAACUUCUUCUGAGGGUUUGCAGUUUCACACUUUGUUCAUAAAAUAACAACCAAUUCUUGUAAAGAAGGAAAAUAAAAUGUACAAGUUGUUUUUUCAUACUUUGUCUGUAUAAAAUAAAGGUAACUCAUUUUUGGUUUGUACAGUAGCUACAUAUGUUAAUGUUUUAGUAAACCCUCUGGAUAUUUGUAAUACAUACAUGUACUUUGUUUCUCUAAUUGACAGUCAUUCAUUUGAAACAGAGAGCCAUCCACGGCAGCAGGGGGCGCUGGUGAGAAUUAAUCCUGUGCGUCAUGACGUUGAAAUUGAAGCAUUAACUUCCUGUUACUGAACUGUGCGGCUUUCGGUUCCCGAAUAGUUUAUUUCCUUAUUUUAAAGUCCGCGUGCCACCCUCCACAUUUACCGGUAACGUUAGUCGGUGCUCCAUCAUGUCGGGGACGCAGCUGCUCAGACUGCUUGUCAACGAGCGACUGGCAGCGGCUGCCGAGGAAAUCUUUGGACUUGUUGAAAAGACGAUAGCAGAGUAUCAGGAUGAAGCUGCCCGCUCCAAGAGAGAAGUCAACCAGCUGAAAAAGCAGCUCGAGCAGCUGACCGUUUUAAACCCUAAAGUGAUAUUAUUCAGAGCAGACGCCCAGCCGGUCUCUGAGGAACUUCAUCCUUCACUGCAGCAAUGUGACAUUAAGGUGGAAGAGAUUCCCGUUCUGGAGGAAACAGAGAUCCAACAGCACCCGCAGGUCAAAGAGGAGCAGGUGGAUCAGUGUAUCAGUGCGGACAUGGAGGCUGAUACUUCCAACGAUGCUGAAGUCAGACUUCUUAAAUCAGAACCAACCACUAACUGUGAGCUGUUCCUGUCUUCCACUGCUGUAACCGUGAGUGUAAACGAAAGCGUGGACGACAAACAGAAAGAAAGUGAUGGGUCAUCGUCGCCUCGUCAGAGUCAAAGCUUUGAAGUUGUUGUGCAACUGGAACAGCCUCCGAGGGAAGAAAAGUCUUGCAGUUUUUGUGGUAAAAGUUUUAAGAGGGACUCUUUUCUUAUAAGGCAUGUAGACAAGAGUCACAAAGGGCAAAAAGGCUUUAAAUGCCUGGAGUGCAACAAGAAGUUUGAACAAAGGUACCAGCUAGUUCUGCAUUCAAGAAUUCAUGCAGGUGAAAAGCCCUUCAGAUGUGAUUACUGUGACAAAACCUUUGUUGAGAACGCAAGUCGACUUGUUCACAUGAGACAGCAUACUGGGGAAAAACCAUAUUUUUGUGCUAAAUGUGACAAGAGGUUUGCCAGUAGCAAGCAUGCUAAACACUGCACAGGGACACAACAUAAAAGCACAAAUAAGUCCUUUCGCUGCUUAACGUGUGGCAGAACUUUUCACACAGAUUCAGACCUGAAGAUGCAUAUGGAGGUUCACGAGUCAUGGAAACGAUACAUCAGGAAGAAACUGCAAGGACAGGAGUUAGAAGAGAAAAGUUAAAUCUGUAUGAGAGAACGUCAGAGUCUUUGUGACACCAAAUGUGUUUUUCAAAAAUGAAUAAAUAAAACUUACAUCCAGUAUUUAGGAAUGGCCUGUUUCAGCUACAAUCUCUCACAAAAGCAAUAUAUUUGUAAAUAUGUUGAAAUUUAUCUGCGUAAGAAAUUGUUUCAUUGUUUCUGUGGAUAUAAUAAAAAUAUUUGGCUGUGUCAGUUAUGAGUUGACUGCUACAUCUGGAACUAAUGUUUUUUUUUCAUUUAUGGUGGAGCCUGAAAAACUGUCCCACGAGACGAACACCUCCACCCUCACUCCAUCCUCCCCUCCACUUUGUACUUCUGUUAUCUGCUCAGAAUUAUUUUCUUUAGGAGAAAGAGAGCUCAUGAGGGAAAUGGAUGGGAAGAGGAGCAGUGAAGCAGCUUUGCCAUGAUCCACUUAUGUGUGUCCACAUUUUGUCAUUCAGUGUCUCAAACUUGUUCUCAAACUUCUUCUGAGGGUUUGCAGUUUCACACUUUGUUCAUAAAAUAACCAAUUCUUUUAAAGAAGACAAAUAAAAUGUAAAAGUUGUUUUUUCAUACUUUGUCUUUAUAAAAUAAAACAAACUCAUUUUUGGUUUGUACAGUAGCUACAUAUGUUUUUAUUAUUAUACAUUUUUUAGCAAGCCCUCUCAAAAUUUGUAAUGCAAACAUGUAUCUUUUUUCUCUAAUUAAUUUUUCAGUAUUUGUUAUAACUUGUUUUAUACAUGGUGUAUGGUUAUAACUCGCACAUUUGGAAACAGAAAGCCAUCCACGGCAGCAGGGGGCGCUGGUGAGAAUUAAUCCUGUACGUCAUGACGUUGUACUGGAAAUAUUCAACUCACGUUGCCCCAUUGGUUAGUUGGUGUUAUUAUACAUCCGUGGUUAGUUUAUUUAACUGUGCGGCUUUCGGUUCCCGAAUAGUUUAUUUCCUUAUUUUAAAGUCCGCGUGCCACCCUCCACAUUUACCGGUAACGUUAGUCGGUGCUCCAUCAUGUCGGGGACGCAGCUGCUCAGACUGCUGGUCAACGAGCGACUGGCAGCGGCUGCCGAGGAAAUCUUUGGACUUGUUGAAAAGACGAUAGCAGAGUAUCAGGAUGAAGCUGCCCGCUCCAAGAGAGAAGUCAACCAGCUGAAAAAGCAGCUCGAGCAGCUGACCGUUUUAAACCCUAAAGUGAUAUUAUUCAGAGCAGACACCCAGUCGGUCUCUGAGGAGGUUUUGCCUUCACAGCAGCCUGACCAGCUUCCUAUUGUGGAGGAAAAUGAGACCCGUGACUCCCAUCAGGUGAAAGAAGAGAAGGUGGAUCUCUGUAUUAUUCCACACCUGGAGGAUGAUUCUUCUGAGGAUGUCAAAGUCAGACUCACUCAAUCAGAAACAACUAGUCAGACAGACUGCCAGCUGUUCCCAACUUUCAGCGCUAUAACUGUGACAUUGAAUGAAGAUGAUGAAUGGCAUGGGAGCGAUGGCUCACCCUCUUGUGGUCCGAGGCUCGGUGACACUGCUUUUACGAAGCAGGAACAAGCCCAGAAGGAUGAAAAGGCUUGCCGUUUCUGUGGCAAGCAGUUUCACAGGGACUCUGAUCUGAUCAGGCACGUGGAUGAGAUUCACAUGGGAGAAAAGGCCUUUAAAUGCUCCGAAUGUGACAAGAAGUUUGCCCGUCGGGACCAUCUGGCUGUGCAUUUAAGAAUUCACACAGGUGAAAGGCCACACACAUGUUCUUUUUGUAGGAAAUCAUUUGCUCAAAAUUCAAAUCUCAAUGUACACUUGAGGACGCACACAGGGGAAAAGCCAUAUUUUUGCAAAUCGUGUGGGAAAAUGGUCGCCCAUAGCUACCAUCUCAAAACCUGUGGUACGACGGCGCCCAAAGAGAAGAAGUCAUUUUGCUGUUUGGUUUGUGGUAAAAAAUUUCACACAGCUUCAAACCUGCGUGUCCAUAAGAAGAUCCAUGAAGCCAGGAAACCCUACACUAUUGUGUAACCUUUUGUCUGACCAUCAGACUAAAUUGACAUUUGUUUCACUAUAUUCAUUAUUUGUUAUUCAUUAUCUGAAUCUGAACAAAUCAAAAAUGUAAACGGUGAUUCACAGGUCUGGAACCAGGCUCGCUCACACUGUCCGAAAACCAACAUGGAGACCGUUCAGAGGAAAAAGAAAAACAAUCACAGCUGUCUGAGAAAAUGUCUCCUGUUUCAGACCACAACCUUUUGAAUCCAGUGAUCAGGGGUGCAACAAAGUUUUGUUUGGUGUUUUAAAGCAGUGUGUGUGAAGGAGUGUGACUAGUCCAAUUAAAGCUUUCUUUAUUGAGACUGUAAGUAGGACAUGAAUAAUUGAAGACUGAUGAAAUGAUUGUCGCUUGAGGAAAUGUUAGGACAUCCAGCAACUCUGCUGACAGCUGAAGCCUAGCCUAAUUUGGAUCUUGGCAGUUUGAGUAAUGAAUACAUUUCACAGCAGCACUUGUGUGUGUGUGUGUGUGUGUGUGUGUGAGAGAGAGAGAGAGAGAGAUUUGUUCUCGAUAAUAUCAAUGUGGUGACCAAGUUAUCUUGAUUACUUCAAAACUUCAGUUUUCUUUGUUGAAGUUUUGUUGGUUUGGUGCAUUGCAGAUCUCUGCACUUCAAGCCUGACCUGUUUUAAUGGUUAUCUAGCACUACUUUGUUAACAAAAUACAUUUUUUUUUCCUAUUUUGUAAUGAUAAAGAGCUUUUUGUGAUACUUGUAGACUGUUACAAUGAAAAGCAUGGAUCCAACAUUAGAAGCCAAAAAUGAUUCAGUGUUAAACAGUAAUUACAGUACAACUAUCUUUUAGCAUAAUCUCUUUAAUUCUAAUACCUUAAUUUUGGAUCCAUGUGUAUCGGGUGGUACAUUGAUUACUGCUCCAUCUUACCCUAAAAUGAACCAGAGCUGUCUAUCACUGGUAUUGAUCGCAGCACAGAGACAGGAACACACUGUAUGUCUAGAUUCCCAAAUGUCACAUUACAUUUCUUUAUUUGACUAAAUAAAAUGUACUACUACUAUA